rnacentral:lncRNA from 1 species
UUUCUUUCUCUCUAAUUACCCCUCUUUUUCCCCCAUACAGUCACACACAUACAUUGACUGCACAAACACUCUGAGAACAUGCCACCAAAUGGCUGGUGGUUGUCACUGUGCCAGAUGGAAAAAAACCCUGAGAUUGAUCAAGUGAUUAAUCUUGUGUUAAUAUGUAACUGAGGAAACAUGAAGAUUUUAUAAGCAAGGACAAAAAGGUAUAAUUGGAUAUGGUAACUUUUGUGUUCAACAGAAGAACUUCUGGGAAUAGGAAAAACAAGUAAUUAUAAAAACAGAAAAGGAUUAAGGAGACUGAAGGAUUGACAGCUGGAGAGAUAUUUUCCUGCGUCAGUAUGGGCAAGGACAUUGAGCAAUUUCCCUGGAGAGGACUGAUGCUACUUACUUGUUCCCCACAAGCAACCUCCCCUGCUACCUGGUGCAGCUGGCCAAGGUUGGAACUAGGAGCUCUGCAGUAAAACCCACCGUGAAAUAACAGAAACAUACUGAAGAAUUCUCUGAAAUGACCAACAAUUCUGCUGUCAAACACCAGAAACUGAUGCUUGAUUAGCAAAGCUGCAGGCCCAAGAAGAGCAAGACAAGAGAAAACAGAAGCGCUCCUGUGCUCCUGUGUGGUGGCUGCAGUGGCUUGAGACACACUUGGGAAAUCCACACCAAAGCUCCAGAGCCUGACUGCAAAAGCAAAGCUGACAACUUGGAUGAACCAGUUCACAGUUCACACUUUCCUUUGGAACACACAUAUCUAUUACAUGCCUCAGAAGCUCAAGGGCUGACCAGCAAUCUAUGGGACUCCACUUAAUAUUUCUAUUCAGUAUGGCACAGCUUCUUGUAUGGAUCUGGCCC